UUUGCAUAUCCCCAAAGCGGAGGAAAAGAAACCAACAGGGAUUGCCUCAGUAACGGCGAGUGAAGCGGCAACAGCUCAAAUUUGAAAUCUGGCCUCUUUGGGGUCCGAGUUGUAAUUUGUAGAGGAUGUUUCGGGCACCGCUCCGGUUUAAAUUUCUUGGAACAGAAUGUCAAAGAGGGUGAGAACCCCGUCUUGGACCGGCAGUAGGGCCCAUGUGAAACUCCUUCGACGAGUCGAGUUGUUUGGGAAUGCAGCUCAAAAUGGGUGGUAAAUUUCAUCUAAAGCUAAAUAUUGGCCAGAGACCGAUAGCGCACAAGUAGAGUGAUCGAAAGAUGAAAAGCACUUUGAAAAGAGAGUUAAACAGUACGUGAAAUUGUUGAAAGGGAAGCGCUUGCAACCAGACUUGCGCGCGGCGGUUCCCCCUUCCUUUUGGUUGGGUUAUUCCGCCGUGUCCAGGCCAACAUCGGUUCUGGGGGUCGGUUAAAGGCCUGGGGAAUGUAUCUACCCUUCGGGCGUAGACUUAUAGCCCCGGGUGUCAUGCGACCUCCCGGGACCGAGGAACGCGCUUCGGCUCGGAUGUUGGCGUAAUGGUUGUCAGCGACCCGUCUUGAACCACACGGACCAAA
rnacentral:rRNA from 1 species